rnacentral:rRNA from 1 species
AUACGGAGGAUGCAAGCGUUAUCCGGAUUUAUUGGGUUUAAAGGGUGCGUAGGCGGUUUGCUAAGCGGGAGGUGAAAUGCCGGCGCUCAACGUCGGAAGUGCCUCCCGAACUGGUGGACUGGAAUGACUCUGCCGUGGGAGGAAUGUGUAGUGUAGCGGUGAAAUGCUUAGAGAUUACACAGAACACCGAUUGCGAAGGCGUCUGGCGAAGGGUUGAUGGACGCUGAGGCCCGACAGCGUGGGGGUCGAUCAGAAUUAGAUCCCCUGGUAGUCCACGCCGUAAACGAUGGGCGCUCGUCGUCGGCGGCAGACAGUCGGCGGCCAAGCGAAAGCGAUAAGCGCCCCACCUGGGGAGUACGGUCGCAAGGCUGAAACUCAAAUGAAUUGACGGGG